GUGCACUCCUGUCAACAGCCGUUAUGGACACCAUGCCAAAUCAUCGUUUGUAUAAAAUAAAAAUUCUCUCUUGAGGGUCACCUUUACCUAUGAAAGAAGAGGCCAAGAUUUGAGAAGUUGCAAAACCAAAUAGGCUUGAUUUGUUUUCUAUUUUUUCUUUUAAAUUGUUACCAUCUAGUUAAGAACAAUCCUUGUUUGCCGUCUGGUUUAUUGUGCACUCUCCUCUCUUUCCAUGGAGUUCUCGUUGUCUCCUUCCUCGGUUAUGCUUGUUUUUAAAUACCGUACGUACUUAAUUCCACUUCCAAGUUCAAACCGACCUGAGGAGUGAAUUUACUAUAUGGGGUUGAUAGAGAGAGCAGUAAACCGAGAGAGAGAAAGAGAGAUGGCAGCUGAUGAGCUGAAAACUUCUUCGAAACAUGUCUGAACGCGAGUUGUUUGUCAGCCCAUGAUUGAACUCUAGCCCUAGCCUGUAUAAAUACGUUACUUGGCCUCAGUUGGGGGGCAUUCCCUUCAACGCAAACCCUUUCUUUUUCUUUACAAAAUCGAGUACUUCUUCAUUCGUUUCAGUAAAGAAAAAAAGAAAAACAGUUGACUGCGCCUUUGCUCCAUCAGUUGAUCAAUCUAGCCCUAGCCUAUAUCAACUAUUGGUUACAUGAGGGUGAAUUGCAUGAGGAAAAAACAAAUGAAAAGGGUCACGUCCUGAUCUGCCUGGCUCCCUGGAUGCCAACUAAGGAUGCUGUCGACAAGGAUUGGCCCUUCCUAGUUGGCAUCAGAGGAGUCAAGCAGGUCCAAAAUUAGACAGAUUUGUCAUCAUUUCAGGUAUUUGUUCCCUUCAUUGCAGAUUCUUUUUCUUGUUUCCCAUUUGCCUUCGUAAUUUUUUUUGUUUCUUCUCCUUUGGGCUAGUUUUGGUCCAGAACAUGUAAAGAAGCCUGACAAUCCACGUGAACUGAAAGUUCAACCCAGUCUUUGCUUUGGGCUAUGGCAAACGUGUCCAAAAUUUGCCCAAUUAAUUAAAGCCCACACCACAUACAAUAUAAUAUUGUUCUUAGUUUGGUCAAAUUCAAUUUUUAUCGAAUUCAACUGAAUAUAUAUGAUGGUGCUAA